CCCUUUCCAAGGACAUUCUCCGCCUCCAAGUCCGGACUGACCUCGGCUAGAGAGAGGCGCCAGGGAUAGGACAUGGGGGACGGGGAACCCCACCCAGUUCCUCACUCCUCUGACUGGCUCCUCUGCUCGAUCCUGCACCCCACCAUGAUCCCUUGGGAGGGACUUCCCUGGUGGCGCAGUGGUUAAGAAUCCGCCUGCCAAUGCAGG